UACAGAGGGUGCAAGCGUUAAUCGGAUUUACUGGGCGUAAAGCGCGCGUAGGCGGCUUUGCAAGUCGGGUGUGAAAUCCCCAGGCUUAACCUGGGAACUGCAUUCGAGACUGCGUUGCUAGAGUAUGGGAGAGGGAAGUGGAAUUCCCGGUGUAGCGGUGAAAUGCGCAGAUAUCGGGAAGAACACCCGUGGCGAAGGCGGCUCUCUGGGACGGUACUGACGCUGAGACGCGAAAGCGUGGGGAGCGAACAGG
rnacentral:rRNA from 1 species